rnacentral:rRNA from 1 species
AAAUUGAAGAGUUUGAUCAUGGCUCAGAUUGAACGCUGGCGGCAGGCCUAACACAUGCAAGUCGAGCGGCAGCGGGAAAGUAGCUUGCUACUUUUGCCGGCGAGCGGCGGACGGGUGAGUAAUGCCUGGGGAUCUGCCCAGUCGAGGGGGAUAACUACUGGAAACGGUAGCUAAUACCGCAUACGCCCUACGGGGGAAAGCAGGGGACCUUCGGGCCUUGCGCGAUUGGAUGAGCCCAGGUGGGAUUAGCUAGUUGGUGAGGUAAUGGCUCACCAAGGCGACGAUCCCUAGCUGGUCUGAGAGGAUGAUCAGCCACACUGGAACUGAGACACGGUCCAGACUCCUACGGGAGGCAGCAGUGGGGAAUAUUGCACAAUGGGGGAAACCCUGAUGCAGCCAUGCCGCGUGUGUGAAGAAGGCCUUCGGGUUGUAAAGCACUUUCAGCGAGGAGGAAAGGUUGGUAGCUAAUAACUGCCAGCUGUGACGUUACUCGCAGAAGAAGCACCGGCUAA